AUACGUAGGUGACAAGCGUUAUCCGGAUUUACUGGGCGUAAAGGGCGUGUAGGCGGUCUUGCAAGUCAGAAGUGAAAUUCCUGAGCUCAACUCGGGCGCUGCUUCUGAAACUGCAGGACUUGAGUGCUGGAGGGGAUAGCGGAAUUCCUAGUGGAGCGGUAAAAUGCGCAGAUAUUAGGAAGAACACCGGUGGCGAAGGCGGCUAUCUGGACAGUAACUGACGCUGGGGGGCGAAAGCGUGGGGAGCAAACAGGAUUAGAUACCCUGGUAGGCCACGCCGUAAACGAAGAAUACUAGGUGUAGGGGGUAUCGACUCCCUCUGUGCCGCAGUUAACACAAUAAGUAUUCCGCCUGGGGAGUACGGCCGCAAGGUUGAAACUCAAAUGAAUUGACGGGG
rnacentral:rRNA from 1 species